UAUGUACGCGGUUUUCCAAAGUGGUGGUAAACAACACCGUGUGGCCGAAGGUCAAACCGUUCGUCUUGAGAAGAUCGAAGUGGCUCCAGGUGAGUCAGUUGAAUUCGAUAACAUCUUGAUGAUCAGCAAUGGCGAAGACG
rnacentral:rRNA from 1 species